rnacentral:rRNA from 1 species
UGGGGAAUUUUGGACAAUGGGGGAAACCCUGAUCCAGCCAUCCCGCGUGUGCGAUGAAGGCCUUCGGGUUGUAAAGCACUUUUGGCAGGAAAGAAACGUCGCGGGUUAAUACCCCGCGGAACUGACGGUACCUGCAGAAUAAGCACCGGCUAACUACGUGCCAGCAGCCGCGGUAAUACGUAGGGUGCAAGCGUUAAUCGGAAUUACUGGGCGUAAAGCGUGCGCAGGCGGUUCGGAAAGAAAGAUGUGAAAUCCCAGAGCUUAACUUUGGAACUGCAUUUUUAACUACCGGGCUAGAGUGUGUCAGAGGGAGGUGGAAUUCCGCGUGUAGCAGUGAAAUGCGUAGAUAUGCGGAGGAACACCGAUGGCGAAGGCAGCCUCCUGGGAUAACACUGACGCUCAUGCACGAAAGCGUGGGGAGCAAACAGGAUUAGAUACCCUGGUAGUCCACGCCCUAAAACAAUGUCAACUAGCUGUUGGGGUCUUCGGACCUUGGUAGCGCAGCUAACGCG